CCAGCAGAUGUUAAUCAAUCAUUAUUUUUUAUACUGAAACUGAGACUUUGACUGUGCCAUGUCUAAGUGACCCAAAAACCUGGCUGCUUUGGAAAGUGGAUAGUAUUGGCAAGCAGAGAAAUAUGGCAAGUAAAGAGUGGUGUUUUGCACCUCAAGACUUCAUUCUGUAAGAGGUAUCGACUGGAUUGCCUACCUGUAACUCAGCUUUGUAAGCAGCCUCCCGAGGUUAGCCGUGGUGGUAUUACAUGCCUUGUGCUUUGCCAGCCCCUACAAGCCAGCCAAAGUCUGUUAAAGCCUUCAGAGCACAAAACACUGAUAAGAUGGAUCUCUAACAGGUAUGCGUCAGGGAUAAAGUGGAGAUGUUCCAUUUGCAACAACCUAAAAUUAGUUGCUGUUCACUCAAAAGCAGUAGUAGCUGCCUCCUAUGUCGUUACUUCUACUUGGAACGGGGUGGCUGAUGUAUAGAAUGGAAAUAGUGAUACUAAGUAUGUACAGUAUAUGCAUAUAUACUGUGUGUGUACGUGUGUGUACGUGUAUAUGCUAGCAUGUUGAAGUGUGGCAGUCGAUUUUUGGGAAGUUCUGGGGGAUUCAGGUAUAUGGCUUGCUUUGGACUGUUACUAAAAAUACGGGCUUUUUGGUUACGAAGCUAAAAAUAGGUACGUUAAGACCUACAUUCUCAAUGUAGGUCAGUGGAGGCACUUCUCAGACGUAUUAGCAUUUUGGACACUUAAUCUUAGCAGCAUAUUGCAUCUCCUAGAAUAGGUUAGUCGAGGCAGUGCAGGAGAAAUUGCUGCAUCUCAAGUCAUUCAGAAAGGUUGCCAAGUUUCUCAGGAACCAGAAUGGCAGAAUAAUGAGUAUUAUAUUUAAUUCAGAAUGGAAAGUCAACCGUGGGGAGUUCAGCAGAGGCAACUCAGAUCGUCUUGGCUCCGUGGGGGAGGGAGACUCUUUAACUAUAGUUAGCUAAAAAGAAGCAAGCUGUGUGUGCAUUUGUGUGUAUAUAUAUAUUUAUAUAUAUGUAUAUACAAAUCUGUGUAUGUGUAUAUAACACUGUGUGUACAUAUGUAUGUAUGUAUAUGCCUAUAAUGUAAAAUAUGUGUAUCUAUAGAUAUGUAUACAUUUAUAUAAAUUUAUAUUUCUCUAUAUAAAUAUUCAUGCAACUAUGGGAAAUAACAUUUCAACAGUGUGUCCUUUUCCUUACAACCCAACAAAAAGCUGCUUCCAUUAAUACCAUAUUGGCACAAAUGUCUUAAGUUAUCUUUUCUUUGUAGAAAGGAGUGUUGCUUAGUGGUUGAGCACAAGCCUGGAAGGUUUUUACUAUUCCAGAGGACUCCGAGUCAGUCAUUAGCUGCUCCACAGCUGUUCUAAAUUUGUGAAACGAAGUGGUGGCCAAAAUGACUCAGGGCUGGUUUGAAAACCAAAGGAAGGGGGUUGGUGACUGUUUGUGCUUUGGAAGUCUCUGUUAUGCUCACAGAGCUGUGAUGGUGAAAUAGCUGCAGCAGUAUUCUGGUUGCUGUUAAUGUCCCACCUAAUGCCACCGGCUUCUGAACAGAGGGAAAAAAGAUGAAUUUCCUGCUUUAGAGUAAGUUAUCUGAAAUCUGAUUACUUUGACUCAGUGAUAUAUGGAUUUUCAUUUAGGGUUAGGAUGUUAGGCUGUAAAUCAAGAGUCUUAGCUCAGUGAGCGUCUAGUUCAGGAUGUGUCUUUUAUGUUAUAAUUGAUUUGAAAUAAUUUCACUUCAUCAUCAGAACAAGCUAUACCUUAAUUCAUGAUAAGCUCAAAGAAUUUCUCAGCUGGAAACUCAUUCAUAUCAGGGUGAAUUUUGCACUUGACUUCAGUGGGGUUGAAUCAGAUCAGAGUGUUUCAUUAACCGCUGACAUUAAAACAAUCUUGUAGUUGUGCAACUAUUAACGAAAAAUUGUAAUUUUGUAAUAAAAGUGAG
rnacentral:lncRNA from 1 species